rnacentral:rRNA from 1 species
UAGAGUUUGAUCAUGGCUCAGAUUGAGCGCUGGCGGCAGGCCUAACACAUGCAAGUCGAACGGUAACAGGAAGCAGCUUGCUGCUUUGCUGACGAGUGGCGGACGGGUGAGUAAUGUCUGGGAAACUGCCUGAUGGAGGGGGAUAACUACUGGAAACGGUAGCUAAUACCGCAUAACGUCGCAAGACCAAAGAGGGGGACCUUCGGGCCUCUUGCCAUCAGAUGUGCCCAGAUGGGAUUAGCUUGUUGGUGGGGUAACGGCUCACCAAGGCGACGAUCCCUAGCUGGUCUGAGAGGAUGACCAGCCACACUGGAACUGAGACACGGUCCAGACUCCUACGGGAGGCAGCAGUGGGGAAUAUUGCACAAUGGGCGCAAGCCUGAUGCAGCCAUGCCGCGUGUAUGAAGAAGGCCUUCGGGUUGUAAAGUACUUUCAGCGGGGAGGAAGGUGUUGUGGUUAAUAACCGCAGCAAUUGACGUUACCCGCAGAAGAAGCACCGGCUAACUCCGUGCCAGCAGCCGCGGUAAUACGGAGGGUGCAAGCGUUAAUCGGAAUUACUGGGCGUAAAGCGCACGCAGGCGGUCUGUUAAGUCAGAUGUGAAAUCCCCGGGCUCAACCUGGGAACUGCAUCUGAUACUGGCAGGCUUGAGUCUCGUAGAGGGGGGUAGAAUUCCAGGUGUAGCGGUGAAAUGCGUAGAGAUCUGGAGGAAUACCGGUGGCGAAGCGGCCCCCUGGACGAAGACUGACGCUCAGGUGCGAAAGCAUGGGGAGCAAACAGGAUUAGAUACCCUGGUAGUCCACGCUGUAAACGAUGUCGACUUGGAGGUUGUUCCCUUGAGGAGUGGCUUCCGGAGCUAACGCGUUAAGUCGACCGCCUGGGGAGUACGGCCGCAAGGUUAAAACUCAAAUGAAUUGACGGGGGCCCGCACAAGCGGUGGAGCAUGUGGUUUAAUUCGAUGCAACGCGAAGAACCUUACCUACACUUGACAUCCACGGAACUUAGCGGAGAUGCUUUGGUGCCUUCGGGAACCGUGAGACAGGUGCUGCAUGGCUGUCGUCAGCUCGUGUUGUGAAAUGUUGGGUUAAGUCCCGCAACGAGCGCAACCCUUAUCCUUUGUUGCCAGCGAUUCGGUCGGGAACUCAAAGGAGACUGCCAGUGAUAAACUGGAGGAAGGUGGGGAUGACGUCAAGUCAUCAUGGCCCUUACGAGUAGGGCUACACACGUGCUACAAUGGCAUAUACAAAGAGAAGCGACCUCGCGAGAGCAAGCGGACCUCAUAAAGUAUGUCGUAGUCCGGAUUGGAGUCUGCAACUCGACUCCAUGAAGUCGGAAUCGCUAGUAAUCGUGGAUCAGAAUGCCACGGUGAAUACGUUCCCGGGCCUUGUACACACCGCCCGUCACACCAUGGGAGUGGGUUGCAAAAGAAGUAGGUAGCUUAACCUUCGGGAGGGCGCUUACCACUUUGUGAUUCAUGACUGGGGUGAAGUCGUAACAAGG